CCUACGGGGGACAGCAGUGGGGAAUAUUGCACAAUGGUGGAAACACUGAUGCAGCGACGCCGCGUGAGUGAAGAAGUAUCUCGGUACGUAAAGCCCUAUCAGCCGGGAAGCAAAUGACGGUACCUGACUACGAAGCCCCGGCUAACUACGUGCCAGGAGCCGGGGUAAUACGUAGGGGGCCAGCGUUAUCCGGAUUUACUGGGUGUAAAGGGAGCGUAGAGGGGAGCACAAGUCUGGAGUGAAAUCCCGGGGCUUAACCCCGGAACCGCUUUGGAAACUGGGCGGCUGGAGUGGAGGAGGGGUAAGCGGAAUGCGUGGUGUAGCGGUGAAAUGCGUAGAUAUUAGGAGGAACACCGGUGGCGAAGGCGGCUUGCUGGACUGUAACUGACGUUGAGGCACGAAAGCGUGGGGAGCGAACAGGAUUAGAUACCCGGGUAGUC
rnacentral:rRNA from 1 species